UCGAUGAAGAACGCUGCGAACUGCGAUACGUAAUGCGAAUUGCAGGAUUCAGUGAGUCAUCGAAAUUUUGAACGCAUAUUGCACUUCCGGGUUAGUCCUGGAAGUAUGCCUGUAUCAGUGUCCGUACAUUAAACUUGACUUUCUUCCUUCCGUGUAGUCGGU
rnacentral:rRNA from 1 species